rnacentral:rRNA from 1 species
AUUGAACGCUGGCGGCAGGCCUAACACAUGCAAGUCGAGCGGAUGAAGGGAGCUUGCUCCUGGAUUCAGCGGCGGACGGGUGAGUAAUGCCUAGGAAUCUGCCUGGUAGUGGGGAAUAACGUCCGUACACGGGCGCUAAUACCGCAUACGUCCUGAGGGAGAAAGUGGGGGAUCUUCGGACCUCACGCUAUCAGAUGAGCCUAGGUCGGAUUAGCUAGUUGGUUGGGUAAAGGCCUACCAAGGCGACGAUCCGUAGCUGGUCUGAGAGGAUGAUCAGUCACACUGGAACUGAGACACGGUCCAGACUCCUACGGGAGGCAGCAGUGGGGAAUAUUGGACAAUGGGCGAAAGCCUGAUCCAGCCAUGCCGCGUGUGUGAAGAAGGUCUUCGGAUUGUAAAGCACUUUAAGUUGGGAGGAAGAGCAGUAAGUUAAUACCUUGAUGUUUUGACGUUACCAACAGAAUAAGCACCGGCUAACUUCGUG